rnacentral:misc_RNA from 1 species
GGUGUCUGGGACUCGACCAAGGAAAGAUUCAAGAUAAAUGUGGUGCUGUUCACAAGAAAAACAAAGGAAGAAAAUAAACUGUGCUGUUAUAAAUGAAGAAGGGAAAGGCUUAUGCAGCAGUAUCAGCGAAAAUUAAACAAGCAAAAUAUUAAUUGAGCAAACCUAAAUGCAAUCUCAUAAAAUCUCACUGCUUCGAUGGAUGUUGGACAUUGUUGGUUGCUUGUGGAGUACAAGAUGCAGCAAAUUUAAGAAUGGAUAAAUGUGCUUUCUAUUCAGGAUCUCCAAUAGAAAAAGAAAUAUUACUGUGUGCUUCCAUUUUUAUUACUGUAUUUGGUAAAUUAAAGUCAUUUUUAAAAGGUU